GGCUGGUCUAACGGAGUUUAAGCCUUUUGCGGGGCUCCUAGCAGUCGUAUGUUUGUUUGCAGAAAUGAUUACGUGAGCACAGAGGGCAGAUUACAACGAGGAAAGCAUAUUAUCCAGUUUGUGUCUUUCAAAAGUUCUUUUUCCUCUAUGAGUCACGGCAUAACCACGUUCUUGCUGCAUACCUGUGUGAGACGGUUUUCUUCAUAUACUUCAACCAAAUGCAUAUGGCAAUAGAUUCAAUGCAGAGGCAGAUGAGUGUCCAGUUGUUUUCGACCGAGCUAGACCUUACGGAUGUCACAGAAAGAUGGCAGGCGCUUCUCCAUUUGCAAAUGUCACCCGGGAAACCGCCUUGGAGCUGAGGCGUGUGAAACAAAGGCAAGUCCUUGAGCAGAUCCUUCUGGGAGCUUACGGGGAGCUUCAGGGAGCGACUUAGGUCAAAACGUGGAUCCGUGGUUCUUUGAGUGAGCUUUAUUCUGGUUGCUGAAAGUUUCUUUUAUUAGAUUGUAGAGUUCUGGAAAACUUCAUCGUGACAAUUCUUGCCAGCUUGUUCACUGCUUUUAUGAAGGGAUGAAGGUUUGGAGUUGUCUACUCUGCUGUUUUCAGAGACGUCUGUCCUGUGGAGAGAAUGGGUGACACGGGUGUGGUAUUCCUGAUUCCAACAAAAGGGCAGCAUCCGGUCCAGAUCCCUUCCGACUUAUCUGGGAGUCUUGAGAGUUGGAUGCCUGAGGAGAUUUGUGGCCGAGCCCUGGAAAUCAUUGACCUGCCCCUUCUGUGGGGUCUACUCUGAGGAACCCUAUUCCAUAACGUGCGCACCUUCUGUCCAAGGCGCCUGGGCUCCUCGGUGAUGCAGACUGACAGGAGGCUUUUCAUCCACUCCGGGUGCUUUCAGUUCUCCCAGAAGUCAGGCCAGGAAAACCUGGUAGCAGGACGUUUGGCGGACCUUUUCAGAGAGUUGGACUCUGGAGCCGAGCACUGAGCACGGGCCUCAGGUCGGCAGGUUUGUGUGUGACCAUGACAGAAAACCGGAAAAGACUCAUCUCUUCCUUUUACCUGCACUGUUUUGAAGACCUCUGCUUGACAUCUUGCAAACAACUUAUGCCUCCCCUGCCUUCAGCAUUUGGCGAGAAAGCAGCAGACGGGCUAUUCAUUUCUCGCCAGCCUCUUGACAUCCCUCAGAUAUACGCAAGAUCCGGAUCAACACGGCCCUUGGGAGGGCGGCUGAGACGAAGGUGCUCACGCCUGCGCCAAGCCCGUGCUGCUGUAUGCUCGGCUUUUAUGUGAACGUGAACUUGGGUUCACUAACCACCCCCGACUGUCUCACAUCCUCUGAGACAUGUGAGGUGUCAGAAGGGUAUGUCUGCUCGAGUCCGGUAGAGACUCCUGAGACAUUCCUCUCCACCGCUGGCGUCCUGGCUUCUCCACUUCACUUCUGGCCGCAACGAUUAGAAGAUGGAAAUGGGAGGGAGGUAGAAAUGGGAUAUAGGUGCUUGCUUGGCAUCUGCCCAUUGUCAAGGAACAUUCCCUGUGUCUUCAGAGCUCAGAUUUAGUGUUGGGAGCCUCACAGGAGGAUGUGAAGUUGUGUUAUCCGAACCCAGGACUGUUCUCCACAUGCGCCGAAAGUUACAGAAGGACGGAGCCGUGAAUUGCUGCUUUAGAAGGAAACCAAGAGCUAGCCUGUGGACAGUAUCCAGGAGGAAUCUGUGUAAAAUGCCAAUGAAAAUACUCCCAGUCAAAACAUGAGGUGUGUGGGUGAGCUGCGAACAAAGAAGACGUCAUCACAUUGAAGGCUCAACGUGCCAAGCGAGAAAGAUGACCAAUAGGCAGAUGAAGCACCCAACUGCACAGGCUAAAGGCGGACUCCGAAACAGAAGGCUUUCAAAGGGAAAGGAUUUGCAAAGACAAGAAGGAAGUCAGAUUUCAGAAAGAUCUGCUCCCCCAGUAGAGAACCUGGUAAGCAUUUGAUUCAAGAAACCAUAAAGUUAUCAAGGUUUCCAAGUUUAUAUCUGUGUGUUAAUGCUGGCAACAGACAACUUCCUCACGUGACGUUAUAGUCACAAAGACCAAGUCAUAGUCUCAGAUGCCAACAUAACAAGAUCAGGAGCAGAAUUGCUCUUGUUUGGAAACCAGGUUUAUAGGAUGUUCACUAUUUUAAGAGCUUGGAGACCCAAGCCAGUUAGGGUGGUCCUGUUAUUUUUAAUUUAGCUCAGAAUGCAAAGUGCUUUACUUUUUUCCGUAUUGCCGUCUCUGAAGUGCUCAGUCGUAUUGGGAGUAGAGUCAUGUAUCGGUGUUGGCUUCCUGCUUCCCUCUUUUGGUCAAGUUCCUGCCAUUAAGAUGUGGAUUUGAUAGCAGGGUUGGCCUGUGGUGGUGGUGGUGGUGGUGGUGAUUGUUGUUUUUAAAUUCAGUAUCAUUAAUUGUUUUUGUGUCCUUUGACUUGUUUGUACAGGAGUAACUAGAGUUGUUUUCAUAGAAGAUCCUUUGAACGGUUAUCAAAAAUGCAGUCACAUCAUAUGGAGGUCUAAAACUCUGCUUUUUGGGGGGAUUUUGUUCAGCCCGUAGCCUUAUAAUUGCCUUUCAUGUUCAGAAGUAUUUUACUUCCUUUAUCAGAUCUGUUGGGAUCGAGAACUGAGAAAUUAAUCUGCUCUACCAGGUCACCCUGAAGUAACUAUGACUGUAAGGGUCCCCAUGUUAGACUGUUCCUGGCCUGCAAGUGACAAGCUGAAAAUACAUAUAAGGGGAAUAUCUCAUAAGCAUAGAGCAGACACCAGGCAACUUUUCCUGGGAGGAAUUUACGGAUACCUUUUCCACAUGUGAAUCUGCCCUGAAGAGUGGGCUUUUGAUGGGAUGUCUAG